AUAUCAGCGUAAGAUCAGGAUGCAGUAAUCUGUUCUUGUCAAUUUAAUCUUUGAUAUGUAAUCAAUCGAUCAUUUCGUGCUUAUUCUAUUUUUGAGAUUUUGGUUGCGUUUGUAGAGACUCGCUUAUAAUCUAUUGCAGAUUGAUCCGGUAUUGCAUGGUGCUUCCGGAAAUGGUCAUUCAUGU
rnacentral:snRNA from 1 species